GAUUCAGCGGACCCUGGAGUGGCUUCGACUCGGCCUCCUAAAACAGGCCCUUCGCCAGCGAAGACAGGGUUAAGAAGGCGGGCCUGGAGGGCCACGUGCCGGGGCGGACGGCUAUUGGUUCUGCCGGAGUUGUUUGUCGCAAGGCCAUUGGCGCAGUCGGGGCGUCGCGGUGGUCUGAUUGGCUGGGCGUCGGAGGGGUCCCAGGGCCGGGACGGGGAGGAGGCUGCCGGACCAAGUAGCCCGGCCGGAGUGGGCCGAGCGGGGUUCGUGCGCUACCCGCGCGGGGACGGCAGCCGGAGCCGCGGGCGCCGACGCCAUGCGCUAGAGUUAGGCGCUGCUGAAGAACGCGUCCCUGGCAGGGGCGCCCAAGUACAUCGAGCACUUCAGCAAGUUCUCCCCUGUCCCCCCUGUCUAUGAAGCAGUUUCUGGACUUUGGCUCCAGCAAUGCCUGCAGAGAAGACUUCCUUCACCUUCCUCCGGCAGGAGCUGCCUGUGGCGCCUGGCCAGCAUCAUGAAAGAGAUCAACCUGCUUCCUGACCGGGUGCUCAGCGCCCUCCAGGUGCAGCUGGUACAGAGCUGGUACGUGCAGAGUCUGCUGGACAUCAUGGAGUUCCUGGACAAGGACCCUGAGGACCACCGCACCCUGAGUCACCCUCAUUUUUGCAAGGCAGCACAAACCCGGCCCACCCCAAGCACAU
rnacentral:lncRNA from 1 species